rnacentral:lncRNA from 1 species
UCUUUGACAAAGCAAAUAGAAGAGCAAUUGAUGUUGGUGGCAAAAUUAACUUUGCUAUGUGCGGAUCCCAAUCCUCAGUUGAGGCCUACGAUGAAACAAGUUUCUGUUCAUCUGCUGAAAAAAAGGCCGUCUCUAGCAAGCAUGUUUCCUGUCAUCACAAUUGCAGAACUUAUGGCUCUUGACUUGUCUGAUUUCUGAACUUCUUCUGUAUAUUACAGCAAUUUUAGUGUUCCCAUGAAUCCAUCUGUUUUUGACAUUUAUCAUUGUCAUCACCAAUAUGUAACUGCAAACUUUUCCAUCUCUAGCUAAUAUUGUCUACAGCUUUUGAAUGACAAUUAAUACUCUGGAUUAUGCAGUAACACCUGUUAUAUACCAUAUAUUACCAUAACCCACCAAUAAAAAAAAAAAAGUAUUUAAAACAAGAAACUAUUCCAGCGGCCAUUUGGCAUGGCAAGAAAAUAAUUCCAGAAAAAUAGAAAUGGCAGGAAGAAAAAGAUCAAAUUUCAUGACCACAAAAGACAUGCAAAUAAAUAUACCGUCCAUGAAGAGAAAAAGUCUAUGACUAUUCACUUAAGAUAAGCAUCAAAAAUUUAGAACAUACCCAAAAGUUGAAAUCAAAGGAAGCUUCUGCUCCACCAAUAUGAAAAGCCAGACUUGAUUCUAAACUGAGUUUCAACUAUGGACAGACUUAACUAUAGCUUUCAGUCAGAAUCUCUACAUUGAUGGAGAGUAAUAAGACCUAAAAAAUACGCAUCUAGGUUGCCGUAGCAGGACGGGAGAAGACUUGUCCCAGCUUACCAGUUUAUCUUUCUUCUGGAAUGCUAUUAGCAUUUAAUUAGUAGUCAAUGGGAAUGAGCCUUCUAGGUUUCGGCUACUUAUUUUUUGACUUAUUAAAGUUUCUUUGUCAUAG